AUCCCAUGUUGUGGGCAACGAACCAGUAGCUUCUUGAAACUCUCCCAGUAAUUAUGUAAAGCUUCUCUUUUUACUUGUUUAAUACCAACGAUUUGUCUUGUGAGACU